UGGUGGAGCGAUUUGUCUGGUUAACUCCGAUAACGAACGAGACUCUGGCCUAUUAAAUAGUUCGCCGAUUCCGAUCUGUCGGCGUUAACUUCUUAGAGGGACAAGUGGCUUUUAGCCACGCGAGAUUGAGCAAUAACA
rnacentral:rRNA from 1 species